AGAGUUUGAUCAUGGCUCAGGACGAACGCUGGCGGCGUGCUUAACACAUGCAAGUCGAGCGGAAAGGCCCUUCGGGGUACUCGAGCGGCGAACGGGUGAGUAACACGUGAGCAACCUGCCCCUAACUCUGGGAUAGCUCCGGGAAACCGGGAUUAAUACCGGAUAUGACCUUCACCGGCAUCGGUGAGGGUGGAAAGAUU
rnacentral:rRNA from 1 species